rfam:Strigamia maritima strain Brora ctg7180001232883, whole genome shotgun sequence.
GUCAGGAUGGCCGAGUGGUCUAAGGCGCUGCGUUUAGGUCGCAGUCCAGUUAUCUGGGCGUGGGUUCGAACCCCACUUCUGACA